rnacentral:rRNA from 1 species
UACGUAGGGGGGCUAGCGUUGUCCGGAUUUAUUGGGCGUAAAGAGCGUGUAGGCGGCCAGGUAGGUCUGGUGUGAAAACUCGAGGCUUAACCUUGAGAUGUCAUCGGAAACCAUUUGGCUAGAGUCCGGAAGAGGAAAGUGGAAUUCCUGGUGUAGCGGUGAAAUGCGCAGAUAUCAGGAAGAACACCGAUGGCGAAGGCAGCUCGCUGGGACGGUACUGACGCUGAGGCGCGAAAGCGUGGGGAGCGAACAGG